GUUACCAUGGAGAAACUGCUGGGGUCGCAUGGCUGCUCUCAACAGCAGGGAACAGUCCUGUCCUUGGUCACCUGCUGCUGCUUGCCCCCAUCUCUCAGUCCAUGCCUGGCACACUGAGGACCAGUUGUUUCUAUCUGUUGUGACACGGUACAUAGGAAAUUGCCUCCUUGAGGAUGAAGGACUAUCACUUACAGGAUGCUAUGCAAAGAUUCAGAGAGCUUCUGGAAUAACUACUUGGAUCUGUGACUUUCCUGCAACACUGCAAACCCCAGGAGAGCCUCACCCUUACCCAGUGGGGGAAUCUGCAGUGUUGGGGUGGAGAGGGGGAUCCUUCAUCAAUGGGAGGAGCAGGCAGAAAGUGAUGCUCCCAAAGUGCUGACUCUGCUCCUGAACACCAGGAACAGUCUCCCAGUCAUGCUCCACAGCUCUGACCAAGAAGGAAGCCCUUUGGGAAGGAGGUAUAUCGAUGACAAGCGACCAGCCCACCACCACCCCCCUGCAGAGAAAGGUCACUGCAGAGCCUCCUCUCCUCACAUCAGCGUCCAUCUCGUUUGCUCUGCUGUAAUCUGCAGAAUCCCUGCAGAGCAAUUGUAUUAUUUUGGCUAAUAAGAAUGUGACUUUUCAUUGUUGACUUCCACAGACACUUAAAUAUAGCCUUAGCAAAUUAAUUUUGCAAAACAAAAAGUGACUAGCCAAAUAAACUCCACCACAGCUUGACA
rnacentral:lncRNA from 1 species